rnacentral:rRNA from 1 species
UGUAAUUUGAAGAAGGUAUCUUUGGGCCCGGCUCUUGUCUAUGUUCCUUGGAACAGGACGUCACAGAGGGUGAGAAUCCCGUGCGAUGAGAUGACCCGGGUCUGUGUAAAGUUCCUUCGACGAGUCGAGUUGUUUGGGAAUGCAGCUCUAAGUGGGUGGUAAAUUCCAUCUAAAGCUAAAUAUUGGCGAGAGACCGAUAGCGAACAAGUACAGUGAUGGAAAGAUGAAAAGAACUUUAAAAAGAGAGUGAAAAAGUACGUGAAAUUGUUGAAAGGGAAGGGCUUGAGAUCAGACUUGGUAUUUUGCAUGCUGCUCUCUCGGGGGCGGCCGCUGCGGUUUACCGGGCCAGCAUCGGUUUGGAGCGGCAGGAUAAUGGCGGAGGAAUGUGGCACGGCUUCCGCUGUGUGUUAUAGC